rnacentral:rRNA from 1 species
AACGAACGCUGGCGGCAUGCCUAACACAUGCAAGUCGAACGAGACCUUCGGGUCUAGUGGCGCACGGGUGCGUAACACGUGGGAAUUUGCCUCGGGGUAUGGAAUAACUCAGGGAAACUUGAGCUAAUACCAUAUAAUGUCUUCGGACCAAAGAUUUAUCGCCCUGAGAUAAGCCCGCGUAGGAUUAGCUAGUUGGUGGGGUAAAGGCUCACCAAGGCGACGAUCCUUAGCUGGUCUGAGAGGAUGAUCAGCCACACUGGGACUGAGACACGGCCCAGACUCCUACGGGAGGCAGCAGUGGGGAAUAUUGGACAAUGGGCGAAAGCUGAUCCAGCAAUGCCGCGUGGAGUGAUGAAGG